rnacentral:rRNA from 1 species
CCCUUAGAUGUUCUGGGCCGCACGCGCGCUACACUGAUGCAUUCAACGAGUCUAAAACCUGGUCUGAGAGGGCUGGGUAAUCUUUUGAAAGUGCAUCGUGAUUGGGAUAGAUGAUUGCAAUUCUUCAUCUUCAACGAGGAGUGCCUAGUAAACGCAAGUCAUCAGCUUGCAUUGAUUACGUCCCUGCCCUUUGUACACACCGCCCGUCGCUCCUACCGAUUGAACGAUCCGAUGAAAACUGUGGAUUGAGAGUCUGAGUGGGUUCGCCUACCUCAACUUUCGAGAAGCGGUUUAAAUCUUAUCGUUUAGAGGAAGGAGAAGUCGUAACA